rnacentral:rRNA from 1 species
CACGUAGGGGGCAAGCGUUGUCCGGAUUCAUUGGGCGUAAAGAGCUCGUAGGCGGUUCGAUAAGUCGGGUGUGAAAUCCCCGGGCUCAACCUGGGAACUGCAUCCGAAACUGCCUUGCUCGAGUAUGGGAGAGGGAAGUGGAAUUUCCGGUGUAGCGGUGAAAUGCGUAGAUAUCGGAAGGAACAUCAGUGGCGAAGGCGACUUCCUGGACCAAUACUGACGCUCAGGUGCGAAAGCGUGGGGAGCAAACAGG